GACGAACGCUGGCGGCGUGCCUAACACAUGCAAGUCGAGCGGAGAGAGGGGUUUCGGCUCCUUUCUUAGCGGCGGACGGGUGAGUAACGCGUGAAGAACCUGUCCUUCACAGGGGGAGUAACAUCGAGAAAUCGAUGCUAAUACCGCAUGAGACCACAUUGCCGCAUGGCAGAGGGGUCAAAGGAGAAAUCCGGUGAAGGAGGGCUUCGCGUCCCAUUAGAUAGUUGGCGGGGUAACGGCCCACCAAGUCAGCGAUGGGUAGCCGACCUGAGAGGGUGAUCGGCCACACUGGGACUGAGACACGGCCCAGACUCCUACGGGAGGCAGCAGUGGGGAAUAUUGGGCAAUGGGCGAAAGCCUUACCCAGCAACGCCGCGUGAGAGAAGAAGGUUUUCGGAUUGUAAAUCUCUGUCCUAUGGGACGAAGGAAGUGACGGUACCAUAGGAGGAAGCCCCGGCUAACUACGUG
rnacentral:rRNA from 1 species